rnacentral:rRNA from 1 species
UACGUAGGGCGCAAGCGUUAUCCGGAAUUAUUGGGCGUAAAGAGCUCGUAGGCGGUCUGUCGCGUCUGCCGUGAAAGUCCGGGGCUCAACUCCGGAUCUGCGGUGGGUACGGGCAGACUAGAGUGAUGUAGGGGAGACUGGAAUUCCUGGUGUAGCGGUGAAAUGCGCAGAUAUCAGGAGGAACACCGAUGGCGAAGGCAGGUCUCUGGGCAUUAACUGACGCUGAGGAGCGAAAGCAUGGGGAGCGAACAGG